rnacentral:rRNA from 1 species
UACGUAGGGGGCAAGCGUUGUCCGGAUUUACUGGGCGUAAAGAGCGCGUAGGUGGGAGAGCAAGUCCGGUGUGAAAGCCCCCGGCUCAACCGGGGAAGGUCGCUGGAAACUGCCUCUUCUUGAGGUGGACAGAGGGAAGUGGAAUUCCUGGUGUAGCGGUGAAAUGCGUAGAUAUCAGGAGGAACACCCAUGGCGAAGGCAGCGUUCCUGGGUCCAAUCUGACGCUGAGGCGUGAAAGCGUGGGGAGCGAACGGG